rnacentral:rRNA from 1 species
ACAUAAAAAAUUAAAGAGUUGUUUUGUUUAUCUUCUUAGAGGAAAAUAUUUUUUAUGGGUAUUUACUAGAGAAUCAUUUUAUUUUUAUAAUAAAUAGUACCGUGAGGGAAGGCUUUUUGGUUUGGAUAAAUUAACCUUUGUUUUGGUCCCUUUGUAAAAAGGAAUAAUUUAAUAAGGGGGGGAGGCCCCCUUUCCCCAAAUUCUACCAACCUAAAAGGUAAAAGGGUGACCUGGUAAAACCUCAAAAAAUAACUUUUUUGAGGGGAAUAGCUAAACCAAUAAGAAGAUAACUGGUUUAAAGACAAAAAAAUUUAUUUUUCUCUUCUAUGUUAUUAACAUUUUUCUAGGUAGGGGGAGAAACUGCGGGGAUAAGCUCGCUUUUUUUUAACAUAUUAAUCAGAUAUAAAAGGUGUAGGCUUAGAAAAAGCUAUUAUUGAAAAAGGGUAAUAUUUUAACUUUUGAAGAUUUGUUUUGUAUUUGACAAGGUCCUUAUAUUACUGUUAGCUUAUUUUAGUAAGAGAUAAUAUUAAUAUUAGUAAAAUAUGUAUUAGGGUAAUAGUAGGGAUUGACGUAUUAUUAAGGAACUCGGCAAAUUUUCCAUCCACCUGUUUAUCAAAAACAUCGCCUUUUGUGGUUAAAUAAAAGGUUAGCCCUGCCCAAUGAGUUUUAAAUGGCCGCGGUAUUUUGACCGUGCGAAGGUAGCAUAAUCAUUAGUCUGUUAAUUGCAGACUGGAAUGAAUGGCUAGAUGGAUGGUGACUGUCUCCCUAAUAAGAAUGAAUUUUAGGUCUUUGUGAAGACGCUUAGAUGAUGCAGAAAGACGAGAAGACCCUAUUAAGCUUUACAUUUUGUAUUUUCGGAUAUUCUAAGUACUCGAUGUUGUGCUGGGGCGGCAGUAAAGGAAAAGCCUUUAUAAGUCUGUAAUAUUAUAAAUAGAAUUAUAAUGAUCCAUAAUAUAUGAUUAUUAGGACAAGUUACUAUAGGGAUAACAGCGUAAUCUUAUUGGAGAGUUCAUAUUGAUAAUAAGGAUUGCGACCUCGAUGUUGAAUUAGGAGCCCUAUACUAGUGCAGCCGCUAUAUUAGGUGAUCUGUUCGAUUAUUAAAUUCCUACAUGAUUUGAGUUCAGACCGGCGUGAGCCAGGUCGGUUUCUAUCUUUUGUGAAGUAGUCUAUUUUAGUACGAAAGGAUUGAGUAGGCGAGAUUAUCUUUUAUAUUAAGACAACAUUUAAAUAUAUUUAAACUUUUAUUAUUAAAU